rnacentral:lncRNA from 1 species
UGUGGCAUCUGGAGUGGAUCAGAUCAAAACUGUGUCAGAAGCAGAUCAGCAGGAGACAGAGAGCAAGACUACAGAAAAAGAUGUGGUAUCAACAGUAAGUCAGAGGGAGAUUGAAGGCUUGGUAACAUAAACCAAGGAGAGAUGGAGCAGAUAACUGGAAAUGAGGGUAUGUCACCAGCAGUAGAUCAGGUAGAAGUUGAGGCCGUCUUAGAAGAUCUGAGUAAAGAAAAGAGAGAUGUAGAUGAAGUUGAAGAGGCCAGGGUAAGUCAAGGAGAAGUGGAGGAGGAAAUUAAAAAAAAGGAUGUGGAUGAGGUAGAAGCUGUAGAGGUGCCGGGAACAGAUGAGAAGAAAGCAGAAAAUGUGGAUUUAGCCAUGGAUCAGAGUAAGACUGAAGAAGAUGUUGCCAUAGUUGUUGAACGUGAAGUUACUGUAGAGGGAGAUGUGAUAUUAGCAACAGCUGAGGAAGAUUCAGCAGGGACAGGUGAUGUUGCAACUGGAAAAGUGGAUACAAUACAUACAGUGGCACCCACUGAAACGCAGGACACUAUGGAGCAAGAAGUGAUAUUGCCAGAAAGUCUGGACAAAGUAGGAGAGAAAGCAGAACUACCAAUGCAAGACGAUGUCCCCAGAAAAGACCUGGAGGGAAUACCUCUGCAAAGUGUUGAGGAGGGGACUAAAGAUAUGGAAUCAAGAGUUACUCAUGAAAAGGUUGAAGAGCUAGUUGCACCAGAAAAAAGAGACAGCAAAGAUCUAGUAGGAUUUGAUCAGGGGGAAGGCAAACAGUUGGAGUCUUUGGAGGAAACUGGAAAAGAGCAAGUUGUACCAGCCAAGGAUUUAGGUGAGGCAGCGGAAUUGGUGGUAGUAUAUCAGGAUCAGAUAGCAGAGCCAAGUGUAGCUGAGAAAGUAUUGAGUAAGCCUCACUUGGAUGCUGUGGAAAUAAAGAUACCCUCUCAGGAAGAAGUGCUGGCUCAAAGGUCUGAAUUUGGUGAGGAUUUUAAAAGGCCAACUCAGGAAAUAGCAGGAGUAGUAUCUGGGGAACUUAUAUCCAGAUGGGAUCCAAAAAAGGCUAAGCCCAGUCAAGAAGAGGCUGCAGUAUCUGCUAGAGUAGGCUGGAAGACACCUGAGUUGUCAAGGCAAGCAUUCACUGUGGCAGAAAAAUUGGGUCGACCAGGUUCUUCACCAUUGUCAAUGCGUUCAUCACAGCCCACACCUGGUGGAAGUAAAGAACAGCAGUGCAUGAGAAAGGGAAAAUUAAUUACAGGAUUGGCAGGACUGCGCCAUGGGCCAAUUGUGGGCACAUCAUGGGGCAAUGCACAUCAUGGGGCAAUGCAGUCAACUAGAGGGCGAGGUGGAGUGCUGGACCACCUGGCUCCAGGGUUGAUUAUUACCAGUUUAACUGCACAGGCUGAGCAAAGGGGGCUUAUAAAAGAGGACCACAAGCAGCUGGAAAGGGAAACAUCAGCGCAGAGGGAGACCCGAUCACCUGAGCCAGGACGCCAUGGGACAAGAGCCAAAGCGGGUGAAGGAGUGGUGCUUAUGGGCUACAGAAUUGGACGGGAAGGGAUGUCCUGUUUCUCUAAGACAGAUAACAGGGCAGUAAUGUUUCAGCAAGGGUAUGAUUUAGAGACAGCAACAUUGCCUCAAGAGCUUGGGCUAGAAAAGGCAGGGAAGCAGUCCAGUCAGGAGCUGCUACAACCAGGCAGGGAAGAACAAGAUGUUAAGGAGCAGGAGGUUCAAGAAAUUAAUGUAACUGAUGAAGCAGGGCAAGGUCUAGAAGGGAUAGACUUGUCUUGGCUUGGGAGACCAUUGUCUGGUGGUUAUGCAGCAUCAAGACCAACUUCUGGCUGGACUACAGGUGUAGGGUCAGGACAUGGGCUCACUUUAAGAUCGUUGCGUGCAGAAAUAAAGGAACGAAUUGAUAUGAUGGUUACAGGUCAGGGUACAUCAAAGUCAGCAGGCCAGAGUCCUGAACCACCAAAAGUUGGAAUGGGAAGAAGGAUGAUUGGGCUUGCAGGCAAGCCAGAGAACGUACACUGGCUGAAGAAGGUUCUAGGAUCAGAUGUGAUAGUGGAUCCCCUCUCUGUAGCAGGCCGUAGCUCAGACAUUAAACCUGAGAGCCCUACCUUGACAUCAGAACGACGGAGCCCUGGCCUGUUGACUGGGAGGCAGCAAUUAAAAGAUUGGCGGGAUGGUGUAAUGGGAAUUGCAAUUAAACGGUAUAAUGCAAUGAGGCGAGCCAUGUGGGGUGAAGGCCCAGUUGGCUUGCAUGUCAGAGGAGUGAAAAUAGAGAGUAUAGAUAGUUUUCCUGGUAGUAGCAUCCAGACUGGUUCCAUUCUGGAACAAGUUGAACGGAAGGUACGGAGGCUAGAGCAGCAUGUGACAGCUGAGAAUGUUCCAG